GAGAGAGAGAGAGAGAGAGAGAGAGAGAGAGAGAGAGAGAGAGAGAGAGAGAGAGAGAGAGAGAGAGAGAGAGAGAGAGAGAGAGAGAGAAUCAUUGUCAAUAGUAAACAUAAACCGUUGGGUUCGUUGCCUGUAUGGAAGGGUGUGUAAAAUUGUGGGCAUAUGCUGAGCUGCGUCUUGCCUCGGCUUCAUUUCCGCCUCCUUAGCCUCUGAGUCGGGUAAGGAACACAAGACGCAGUUGCUUGCGUGCCGAUUGAUUUAAUUUCUGAGGAUUUCCCUUCAGGACGCAUGCACGCAGGCACCCUUCGUGUUCAGAGCAAUAUCAGCGGCAUCGAUCAUCUUCCCCUUCACGUGUUCUGUAUAAGCUUUCUCUUUCUUCCAGUCGCUUGCAGCGAUGUGCAGGAUCGACCUCCGGGAACCGUGUCGCAUGUUAGGGUAGUCGACCUUUGAUGAUAACAGGCUACGUGUCUUUGUCGACUCGUGUAGUGGGGAUUUCAUGAUUUCAUGCCCGGCUGGUUAAAUCUUGCCCUGGAAAUGGAAGUGUUCGAAGGCUGUUUUCGUAACGGGAAGGCGGUGCAGCAAGAGUGUUUUCGUAUUAGCAAGGCAGUGUAAUGAUAUGUUUGUCAUGGCUGCAGUACGAAGGCGGCAAGCGGAAUAAAUGAGCGUAUGAGUCGUGUCCUCUUUUCCUCGUCACGAACCGAGCAAUAUUUUGAAACGCUCCGAAGCUCCGAGGCAACAACUGUAUCCAGCCGUUCACACCGAAGACGUGAAGAGAAACAUCACAGAAAGCUUUAUACCUUAUUAUUUCAACCUAAAAAAAAGACAAUUAUGUGGAAUACGCAUGUGCUUUAUUUUAUUUGCAGUGAUCAAAGUAUGUGAAAAUCCAAUUAAAUAUUACCGGACCGCCUCAUAAUCCACUUAAGAGCACAAACUCUUAGAAAAGUAGCAAACAGCAACAACAAACAAGAAUACGAACUGACAAAACACGCACUGACUAUACUGCUAUUAAUUUGUCAAGAUGUAAAUUACUUUGAAAUCUAACAGAAAUGAAACCCUAAUCGUGAAUAGGUCUUAAAAUUCUAAUGUAUCCAACAAAAAUCGUGUUGGAACGUCUCAACUUGAACCUCAGUGCGUACAGUCUUUGCAAACCGGCGAACAGGGAAGAAAAUGGAGAGAGGUGUGUGCUUGUGUGUGUCUGAGCUGGGAACAAAGUGUUAGGUGAAAGAAGGAAGGAACACAUGAGAUUAAAUUCAGGUAAGGCUGUUCUGUCCGAGCUAUGUGUUACUAUUUUCAGUACACCGUGAAAGAGAGAAAAGACAAUAGUGAAGGAAGAAACACGAGUUGGGGAGUCCGAGUAAGGCUGAGAAUGGCGGCGUUGUUAAGUAAAUCCUCAUUCACCAAGCGUAGGGGGAAUGGAGAGAAUACUAUCCAUACAAACCCUAUGACAUACCGUUUUUCGCAAAUAUCUUUCAAACGAAGACUCGAUGCAAACACCAGUCACAUCUCCGUCACAGUUUCCCUUUCUCCAUACAGGGUGGCGGCAGUGCCCUCCCAUGUGACUGCGAGACGUGCAUCUACUAAGACGAGCUGCUGACUUUGAAGGCGUGAACACCAGGCGCGACGCUUUACACUCUGGGAAACUUGAUCUUUUCCUCUGUACUCUUCUGAAUGAAGGAAGGAGAACAUACAAGAGUGUGACAUAAAACUACACACUGAUCGUUUUCACGUUUCAGCGCAGAGCAGCGGGAGGUGAUCAGCAGGAAGCCAAGUUUUGAUGUCGAAGGCGGAGCGCGGGGAGGGGUGUUCGACCCUAAUGUAUCCAGGCCAACCGAGGCAGGCAUGCCAUUGUAUUGACCCGGGAGCGCCUUCACCCGGACCGGCCGGAAUAAUUCAUGGAAGCCCAAACGCUGUUAUCCGGCCUGCGGCACCGCUCGCCCAUGGGGAUUAAGGCGGCUGUGCUGUUUAUAUAUUUCAUGCUAAUUAGUAAUCUACAUUAGAUAUGUUUACCGCUAUAUAAGUUUGUAUAUAGACAUAUCUAUCUAUUAUCUACCUACCUAUAUCUAUAUAGAUAAAAAAAAAGAUAAAUAUAGAUCGACCGAUCGACAGAUAAAUAAACAGAUAGACAGAUGUAGAUAUACGUACACAUGUAUGUGUGUGUGUGUGUGUGUGUGUGUGUGUGUGUGUGUGUGUGUGUGUGUGUGUGUGUGUGUGUGUGUGUGUGUGUGUGUGUGAGAGAGAGAGAGAGAGAGAGAGAGAGAGAGAGAGAGAGAGAGAGAGAGAGAGAG